AUGGUCUUGAUUAAGUGUAUUUUAUCCCAUUCCUGUUGUUGCCAUUGGGUCUAUUACUCCAAUAUAUCAGCCUUAGCUUAUGCUGCAAAGGACUUUUCAAUCCUUGGACAUAUUUGGGGGAGGGUACCUGGUUCUAAUAAGGGCCAAGUCAGACUUACCAGGUCAUCUCACAAGAUCGAGAUGGAAUCAGCACACAGUCGCCACACUAUGGAAACAGGAACACAUUCAGUUGCGCACUGUGUGCAUAGAAUUUAUACCAUUUCUGCAUGCUCAAGCCACACAACCUUUUGUAUCGUCAGUUUGGUGAUACAAAGAGAUGAUCCAGCUUGCGCCGGACCUUUUAGGUGACACGCUGCUGUGGUAAACCUGACUAGGUUCUAAAAGUAAACCAUGGGAACGCUGAAUACAUGCUGUGGGCUUCUAAAUGGUAACAUUUUGUAUGCUAAUGAUUUUAGUCAUUUUGGAGUAUUUCAUGGGAGAGGAAAGUACCAAGUUUUGCUUCAGAGAAGAGAUCUCUGUAUUUAAGAUCAGUCACAGGACAGAGGUCUGCAGGAUAUGUUUGAUUUGCCCAAUAAUCCUCAUCAUUAUUUAUCAUCAUUGACUGCCUUUUAUCUUUCUUGUAUUUGCUGUAAACUCCUAAACUGAUUCCCCCUUUCUCAACUAUUUCCCUUUCCUUACGGUUAGUUUCCCACCAAAUGCUCCUCAAGUUCUUUCCUAUGCUUCCCCGUUACCUGUUCUGCCACCACCUGUUCUGCCACUUAUUCUAUACCUCAUGAAGCUUGUGUUCCUUUACUUUUAACAAUCUCUAAACUGUUUAAAAAUUACCUUUUCACGGGCGUUUGUCUGAUUUUUCUCCCACUGCCUUUGGUGUAGAACCAACUUUGUAAUUUUCCUUAUCUUGUUCCCCUUACUUUCCUCUCUUAUGUCUACCUCAGAUUGUAAGCCUACAAGCGAAGAACUUCUUUGCACCAGUACUAGUUGAUGUAGGAAUCUAGUGUGACNAAUCAUGUGGAUUCAAGUUUCCUCUCCCUACUGUAUGAACUUCUCUGUUUAAAGGGGGUCAGAACAGGGAGUAAAGUGAUGAUAAAUUAUUGCAAACUCUUUAGCUGCUGCCAUCUGUAAUGGCCCCAAUGGAAAGAAUCCUGCAUCUUUCUAAAGCCCACUAUAGCCAUAGAGGAGCUUGAUCCCAUGAUGUGAAAUUAUUUCCUACAACAAUAAUAAUAUAUUAAAAUGGAAAUAAGCAAACAUGUAUACAUGGAAACCACACUCGUGCUGCAUAGCCAUGCUAACUCAUUUGAGCCUUUCAGCUCUCUAUUUUCUACCGUUUUUGUGGGAAGAAGAAAUGUCC
rnacentral:lncRNA from 1 species